GACGAACGCUGGCGGCGUGCUUAACACAUGCAAGUCGAACGGUGAAGCGCCUUCCUUUUUGGUGGGUGUGGAUGAGUGGCGAACGGGUGAGUAACACGUGAGUAACCUGCCCCCUUCUUCUGGAUAACCGCAUGAAAGUGUGGCUAAUACGGGAUAUUCUGGGUCUGUCGCAUGAUGGGUCUGGGAAAGAUAUUGUUUCGGUGGGGGAUGGGCUCGCGGCCUAUCAGCUUGUUGGUGGGGUGAUGGCCUACCAAGGCGGUGACGGGUAGCCGGCCCGAGAGGGUGGACGGUCACACUGGGACUGAGACACGGCCCAGACUCCUACGGGAGGCAGCAGUGGGGAAUAUGGCACAAUGGGCGCAAGCCUGAUGCAGCGACGCCGCGUGAGGGAUGGAGGCCUUCGGGUUGUGAACCUCUUUCGCCAGUGAAGCAGGCCUGCCUCGUUUGUGGGUGGGUUGACGGUAGCUGGAUAAGAAGCGCCGGCUAACUACGUG
rnacentral:rRNA from 1 species